GUCUACAGCCAUGCCACCCUGAACACACCCGAUUUCGUCUGAUCUCGAAAGCUAAGCAGGGUCGGGCCUGGUUAUUACUUGGAUGGGAGACCACCUGGGAAGACCAGGUGCUGUAGGUG
rnacentral:rRNA from 1 species